rnacentral:rRNA from 1 species
UUGGAUUGAGAACAAUGUACAACUCUUAUCGAUAAGCCAUUGGAGGGCAAGUCUGGUGCCAGCAGCCGCGGUAAUUCCAGCUCCAAUAGCGUAUAUUAACGUUGUUGCAGUUAAAAAGCUCGUAGUUGAAGUGUGGGUGAUCGCUGUUGUGAGACUUCGGUCUCUCGAUAGUAAGUCACCCCCUUCCAGUAUCCAGUAGUGGGUAUUCAGUUACUUACUAUUGUGUGUUGGUCGUUUACUGUGAGAAAAUUAGAGUGUUCAAAGCAGGCGUUUGCUUGAAUAGAUUAGCAUGGAAUAAUAAUUGAAGGCUUUCGUGUUCGAUUUGAUUGGUUUGUUCAUGGAAGCAAGGUUAAAAGGAACAGUUGGGGGUAUUCAUAUUCACUAGUUAGAGGUGAAAUUCUCGGAUUUAUGGAAGAUGAACAAGUGCGAAAGCAA